rnacentral:rRNA from 1 species
ACGCUCGACACCUACGGGAGGCAGCAGUGGGGAAUAUUGCACAAUGGGGGAAACCCUGAUGCAGCGACGCCGCGUGAGCGAAGAAGUAUUUCGGUAUGUAAAGCUCUAUCAGCAGGGAAGAAACUGACGGUACCUGACUAAGAAGCACCGGCUAAAUACGUGCAGCAGCCGCGGUAAUCUGAGCGGGCUGGCAAGGC